rnacentral:lncRNA from 1 species
UCACACAGGACUCCUGAUGCAAGCCUCCACUUUGACCAUCCCGCUCCUAUACGAUGAGUGAUGUCCUCGUCAAUCUCUCCGUCCCCCUAAAUCAUCGACCCAAGAUAUCUGACAAUGUCCCUCUUGGCGAUGACCUGAGAUCCAAUCAUCACGUCCCUGCUACUUCGCUCGGCUCGGCGCUAAACUUGCACUACAGAUAUUCUGUCUUAGAUCUGCUUAUUUUGAAUCCCUUAGACUCGAGAGUCUGUCUCCAUACCUCUAACCUCUCAAUAACACCGACCCUCGUCUC